UACAGAGGGUGCAAGCGUUGUUCGGAAUUAUUGGGCGUAAAGGGUGCGUAGGCGGUGCGGUAAGUCUGUAGUGAAAUCUCUGGGCUCAACUCAGAGUCUGCUAUAGAAACUGCCGUGCUUGAGUGUGGGAGAGGUGAGUGGAAUUCCCGGUGUAGCGGUGAAAUGCGUAGAUAUCGGAAGGAACACCUGUGGCGAAAGCGGCUCACUGGACCACAACUGACGCUGAUGCACGAAAGCUAGGGGAGCAAACAGG
rnacentral:rRNA from 1 species